rnacentral:rRNA from 1 species
CAGCCGCCGCGGUAAUGCGUAGGUGGCAAGCGUUGUCCGGAAUUAUUGGGCGUAAAGGGCUCGCAGGCGGUUUCUUAAGUCUGAUGUGAAAGCCCCCGGCUCAACCGGGGAGGGUCAUUGGAAACUGGGAAACUUGAGUGCAGAAGAGGAGAGUGGAAUUCCACGUGUAGCGGUGAAAUGCGUAGAGAUGUGGAGGAACACCAGUGGCGAAGGCGACUCUCUGGUCUGUAACUGACGCUGAGGAGCGAAAGCGUGGGGAGCGAACAGGAUUAGAUACCCGUGUAGUCCCUGUCUCUUAUAA